rnacentral:lncRNA from 1 species
GACGUUCUUGGAGAUGGUCGACAAGGUUGCGAGCCUCCUCAAGGGUGAGCCCGGCAAUGGCGUCGCCGAGCUCAAGGACCUUCGGGGACUCAGUGGCGGUGGAGGCGACGGCGACGGCGCGGCGGCGGCGGUUGGCGACGGGGAGGGUCCUGGGGGCCGAUGCGGAGGGGGAUGGUGAGGAGGAGGGGAGAGAGAGGAUGGAGAAGGCGGAGGAGAACGUGGUGGAAGCCAUUGGGAGCUCUUGAGGCUUCGGUUCGGGAGUGAGCGGGAGGAAGAGGAGGAGGAAGCGGGGACGGAGGGGGAUAAGAUGAGGCGAGGGGAUAGACGACCGGUGCUAUCUAUAUAAU